AUUGAACGCUGGCGGCAGGCCUAACACAUGCAAGUCGAACGAGUGGCGGACGGGUGAGUAAUGUCUGGGAAACUCCCUGCUGGAUGGGGAUAACUACUGGAACCGGUAGCUAAUCCCGCAUACCAUCAGAUGUGCCCCGCUGGGAUUCGCUAGUUGGUGGGGUAACGGCUCACCAAGGCGACGAGCCCUAGCUGGUCUGAGAGGAUGACAAGCCACACGGGAACUGGGAAACGGGCCAGACGCCUACGUGAGGCAGCAGUGGGGAAUAUGGCACAAUGGGCGCAAGGCUGAUACAGCCAGGCGGCGUGUAGGAAGAAGGCCUUCGGGUUGUAAAGUACUUUCAGCGGGGAGGCGUUACCCGGAGAAGAAGCACCGGCUAACUCCGUGCCAGCAGCCGCGGUAAUAC
rnacentral:rRNA from 1 species